rnacentral:rRNA from 1 species
UACGGGGGGAGCAAGCGUUGUUCGGAUUUACUGGGCGUAAAGGGCGCGUAGGCGGCGCAACAAGUCACUUGUGAAAUCUCCGGGCUUAACCCGGAGCGGCCAAGUGAUACUGUCGUGCUAGAGUGCGGAAGGGGCUACUGGAAUUCUCGGUGUAGCGGUGAAAUGCGUAGAUAUCGAGAGGAACACCUGCGGCGAAGGCGGGUAGCUGGGCCGACACUGACGCUGAGGCACGAAAGCUAGGGUAGCGAACGGG